AGUGAACGCUGGCGGUAGGCCUAACACAUGCAAGUCGAACGGCAGCACAGUAAGAGCUUGCUCUUACGGGUGGCGAGUGGCGGACGGGUGAGGAAUACAUCGGAAUCUACUUUUUCGUGGGGGAUAACGUAGGGAAACUUACGCUAAUACCGCAUACGACCUACGGGUGGAAGCAGGGGAUCUUCGGACCUUGCGCGAUUGAAUGAGCCGAUGUCGGAUUAGCUAGUUGGCGGGGUAAAGGCCCACCAAGGCGACGAUCCGUAGCUGGUCUGAGAGGAUGAUCAGCCACACUGGAACUGAGACACGGUCCAGACUCCUACGGGAGGCAGCAGUGGGGAAUAUUGGACAAUGGGCGCAAGCCUGAUCCAGCCAUACCGCGUGGGUGAGGAAGGCCUUCGGGUUGUAAAGCCCUUUUGUUGGGAAAGAAAAGCAGCAGGUUAAUACCCCGCUGUUCUGACGGUACCCAAAGAAUAAGCACCGGCUAACUUCGUG
rnacentral:rRNA from 1 species